UGGGGAAUAUUGCACAAUGGGGGAAACCCUGAUGCAGCGACGCCGCGUGGAGGAAGAAGGUCUUCGGAUUGUAAACUUCUGUUGUUGAGGAAGAUAAUGACGGUACUCAACAAGGAAGUGACGGCUAACUACGUGCCAGCAGCCGCGGUAAAACGUAGGUCACAAGCGUUGUCCGGAAUUACUGGGUGUAAAGGGAGCGCAGGCGGGAGAACAAGUUGGAAGUGAAAUCCAUGGGCUCAACCCAUGAACUGCUUUCAAAACUGUUUUUCUUGAGUAGUGCAGAGGUAGGCGGAAUUCCCGGUGUAGCGGUGGAAUGCGUAGAUAUCGGGAGGAACACCAGUGGCGAAGGCGGCCUACUGGGCACCAACUGACGCUGAGGCUCGAAAGCGUGGGUAGCAAACAGGAUUAGAUACCCUGGUAGUCCACGCUGUAAACGAUGAUUACUAGGUGUGGGGGGUCUGACCCCUUCCGUGCCGGAGUUAACACAAUAAGUAUUCCACCUGGGGAGUACGACCGCAAGGUUGAAACUCAAAGGAAUUGACGGGGGCCCGCACAAGCAGUGGAGUAUGUGGUUUAAUUCGACGCAACGCGAAGAACCUUACCAAGUCUUGACAUCCUGCGACGGACAUAGAAAUAUGUUUUUCCUUCGGGACGCAGAGACAGGUGGUGCAUGGUUGUCGUCAGCUCGUGUCGUGAGAUGUUGGGUUAAGUCCCGCAACGAGCGCAACCCUUAUGGUCAGUUACUACGCAAGAGGACUCUGGCCAGACUGCCGUUGACAAAACGGAGGAAGGUGGGGAUGACGUCAAAUCAUCAUGCCCCUUAUGACUUGGGCUACACACGUGCUACAAUGGCGUAAACAAAGUGAAGCGAGAGUGUGAGCUUAAGCAAAUCACAAAAAUAACGUCUCAGUUCGGAUUGUAGUCUGCAACUCGACUACAUGAAGCUGGAAUCGCUAGUAAUCGCAGAUCAGAAUGCUGCGGUGAAUACGUUCCC
rnacentral:rRNA from 1 species